ensembl:snoRNA predicted gene, 26287
CAACGGCAAUGAUGAUGUUUACUUUUGUUGUUCACCUGACCACUCAGUGAGGGUGCUCAGUCACUACCUCAUCUGAUGCCAUCU